CUGCAUAUGUCAUCCGUAUACUGUGGAGGUCCUCUUCAUGCGGCUGCUGCUGGUGGGGUGGGAGAGGGUUGGUUGGUUGCCGACGUUGUCAAAUAGGCGACACAGCCAAGCUGUAGCCAGACUUUGGAGGAGAAAUGAGAGAGGGUUGCAACCCCUAGGACAAAAUGCAUCUUGGAAGGUAUUUUGAAGGGAAGAUAAGUAGGAGGUGCGAAGGGUAGAGUUGUUCUGCACCGGGAGUGAGGGAGACCUUUGCAUGGGUGAUGGAAUUCUCCUCCGGGCAUCUUCGCAGACGUUGUAGUACUCGGGAUUACAUGCAGUAUCACCGUGUGGGAAAAGUAUUCCAAGUUUACUUGGUACGAAAAGUGACGAGUCAGGAGAAUCCAAGAAACCUAUGAAACUGGUAUUUGAGGAGACGUUUCCUGGAAAUCCUGGUGUGACUGGAAAGGGAGGGAACGAAAUUGGAUGUCACGACGUCACGGGGGUCCAAAUAUGAGCCGUUUCAGAUUGAAAACCUUUGGCUUCCUGUCACUGUUAGGUGGUUAAAAUAGGCUGCAAAGCUAUUUUUAUAAACCAUUUAAUUGCAGUCAUAAAAUAUUUUUAAUUUUAGUGUAAAAUGGCAGUAUGAAUGUCCCGAGCAUCAAUAUAUACAUGAGGAUGAUGAGCACAUUAAUAAAACGAAGGCUUGAAUGUAUUAACACCACUCUAUAAAGUGAAUCCUGUUUCCUGCAUGAGUUUAAAUCCCGGCGAGAGACAGCACAGGUAGACGAAGCAUACCACAGGUUAGAAAAGCCCAUUGUUGGCGUAGGUGAGAGCCAAACUAAUCCUAAGAGCUUUCUUCCCAUUGACGUUAACUGUUGGGCGUGUGGAUGAAAUAUCCCCUCUCGUCUCGAUUACAGUGUGAGUCGUCCUAUGUGACUCUACCUACAUCCUCUCCAUGAGAAUCAAACAGGAGCUAUUUAGUUGGACUUGGUAUACCUUUAAUCUCGUCCAUCUUCUAGCACAGGUCAUUCCCACAUCCAAGAUGAUGAUAAGGCUGAUUUGCUUGAUUUUUUAAUCGUGUCGUUAAAUAAAGAAGGAUGGGUAGGCCGGUCCCCGAUGUACUGCCUUCAUUUUAAAGAAGGUGUUUAAUUGCACCCUGUCUACCAACAAAAGGUCUCGAGAAUAGCGAGCAAGGCGAGAAGGUAUCUUCCAACACUUUUCAAUCAUAUUAUUACGAUAAUAAAUUGAUUAUUGGUCUAGGCAGCAACUUGAAGAACUGUUUCAUGCAAGCGCUUAAUAUAUUCACGUGCAAAUUGCAGACAUCUAUUUAAAUUACAUGGAGUUGGAGUGCCUUUUUAUCACCUACGAAAAAUAUCACUCUAUGUAAAUCCUGGGGGAAUAAUGACAAUAUAUUUUGCUGAAUUUUGCCUGUUACAUUGCACGCAGUUGGCAGUUUGGUUAACAACGCUGUAAAAACGACAUAAAAUAAAGCAGUACUAGGACACGGAGCUGAUGGAUAUUUCAUUGGAAGAAGGUUCACGUUGGUUAAGUAAACAACUUGUUUGUAUCUUCACAUCAAGUUUGUCAACUUUCUUUCCAUUUUCUCGAAACAAGGACGAGUAUUGCAAAUACUUUGGGAGGAGGGCGAGACGGCCAGAGUGAGAAAAAUGCAUGAAAAAUGUGAAUAUGUGUAUCUUGGAUAGAUUUGUAAAUAUGUACCGUAUAUUCAUCCAUGUACCUGCUUACAUACUAUACGCGUGGUAGCAUGAUGAAGAUUAAUUUCUCAAAAAUAUACAAGACGAGUUAAGUAUUUCAGUGAUAAUAUGCAAGUCCUCUUUUAAUCCAACUCGACAACUUUUCCGAACAAGCCAUGUGUCAGAAUGAAUAAUAAUGUGACCUCGUCUCCCUCAGUCUGUGCAAAUAGAUUAUUAGCGACUCACCCAGUCACCAACCAAAUGUGGUUAAUGAAAUGAAUGGUAGCUAGUAAACGUUGAUAUAAAGUAGUAGUUAAAUUGCUUGUGUAAGUGAGUGUAGAUCCCAGAUUGGAGAUGAAGUAAUAAUCCCGUCGUCUCGUGAUGCAGUAUUCAGCAGUUGGUCGUGGUGGUGGUGCGGCAAGUGUGGCUCAUGAGAUAUAGGAGGACGCACGGAGAGAAUGAGACGGACUUUAUACAGAAGCAACAAGUGAGCAAAGUGAGACGAGGAAUCUCUUCGCCAUGUGCAGCAUGUGGAAUUUCUCUCUUUUAUUAAUCUCCUCACUCAACUUUGCUUCACAUCACGGGGAUACGCAGUGAAUGUUAUUUGCUCAAGUAAUCUCAAGGCAAUUUUGGUUUGAAUACGAAACACAAGUCCAGAUUUGUAGCCUUCUGAAUUCAUUCUCAUGACACCACUAAUCAGGAUUAGUAGUAUUAUUAUUACUGAAGUUUUAAAGCAAGCCCACUUCACAUCCAGGAAUAAUGACGUUUUAAUUAGUUUCUAAUGUUGUUCCAACGCCUUUCAUUAAAAUCUGCUCAGUAUGGUAAAUAAACAAAUGAGUUGGAUAUAUUUUAAUGGACUCUCAUAAUGUGCACUAAACUGUAUUUAUUCGUAGCUGAAAAUUUCAUGUAAUUUCGAGUAAGUAUAUACGUAACUACUAAAAUAUGUUUACCACUCAAAUUGGCUUUAUUGGGUACAUAAUCUAUAGUAUUAACACAAAAAAGAAGAAGCACA